GGAGUGAGCUGUGGGCACAGCUGUGGGGCAGCCAGGCGCGUCAGGCCUCACAUGUCUGGGAGAUGUAGGCUGCCUGGGCUGGUGGCCCCUGAGCCGCAUGGCCUCCCUGGGCCCCAGGACACCGGCCCCGAGCAGGUCACGAGGACGGAGGGCCAUGUGUUGGGUCAGCACCAUCAGCUUCAUGGCGGCUGAAGAGAUGCAUUGGCCUGUCCCUAUGAAGGCCAUUGGUGCCCAGAACCUGCUAACCAUGCCUGGGGGCGUGGCCAAGGCUGGCUACCUGCACAAGAAGGGCGGUACCCAGCUGCAGCUGCUGAAAUGGCCCCUGCGCUUUGUCAUCAUCCACAAACGCUGCGUCUACUACUUCAAGAGCAGCACCUCCGCCUCCCCGCAGGGCGCCUUCUCCCUGAGUGGUUAUAACCGGGUGAUGCGGGCGGCUGAGGAGACCACGUCCAACAACGUUUUCCCCUUCAAGAUCAUCCACAUCAGCAAGAAGCACCGCACGUGGUUCUUCUCGGCCUCCUCCGAGGAGGAGCGCAAGGUGACUGGGGGUCCAAGGACGAGUGCAAGGUGACUGGGGGUGUGGGCCUGCAGGCACCAGGCUGGACCUGCCUUGGGGGCUCGCUGGUCCUGGGGCGCUGGCCUCUCAGUCCCGGGCAAAGAGAAGGUGUGGCUGGGACACAGGCAGCUGGGUGGGUGCUGCCCCAGCUCCAUCCCCAUGCCCAGAGCCUGGUGCCAGCGCCCACACAAGAAACAUGCUGUCCUGGGAGGUGCCCCUGUGGGCUGAGGGGAGCCACACAGCCAUGUUGUAUCCAGCCGGGUCGCCUCCUCUGACCUUGGGAGUCACAGCAGAGCAGGCAGGGCAGUGAAGGUGGAGGGGUGCGGUGGGGCCCACCCUGGUGGCACCGUGCCCACCACAGCCCCGCUGACCUGCAGAGCUGGAUGGCCUUGCUGCGCAGGGAGAUUGGCCACUUCCACGAAAAGAAAGACCUGCCCUUGGACACCAGCGACUCCAGCUCGGACACAGACAGCUUCUACGGCGCAGUUGAGCGGCCUGUGGAUAUCAGCCUUUCC
rnacentral:sRNA from 1 species